GAGUUUGAUUAUGGCUCAGGAUGAACGCUGGCGGCGUGCCUAACACAUGCAAGUCGAACGAAGCAUAUAGAAGGAAGUUUUCGGAUGGAAUUUUAUAUGACUUAGUGGCGGACGGGUGAGUAACGCGUGGAUAAUCUGCCUUACACAGCGGGAUAACAAGUGGAAACAGUUGCUAAUACCGCAUAAGCACACAGUAUCGCAUGAUACAGGGUGAAAAGAUUUAUCGGUGUAAGAUGAGUCCGCGUCCCAUUAGCUAGUUGGUGAGGUAAAAGCUUACCAAGGCGACGAUGGGUAGCCGGCCUGAGAGGGUGAACGGCCACAUUGGGACUGAGACACGGCCCAGACUCCUACGGGAGGCAGCAGGGGGGGAUAUUGCACAAUGGGCGAAAGCCUGAUGCAGCGACGCCGCGUGAAGGAUGAAGUAUUUCGGUAUGUAAACUUCUAUCAGCAGGGAAGAAAAUGACG
rnacentral:rRNA from 1 species